GGCUCCGGUAUCAUGGCAGGCUUCUGCCCUGAAGGCGCGCCUGCCGAGGCUGGCGGGAAGAGGCAGCAGUUCGGGAGCCGGUUGCUGAGCGAUCCGAUGCGGGUCUUCCACCACAAUGCCUGGGACAAUGUGGAGUGGUCGGAAGAGCAGGCCGCAGCGGCGGAGAGGAAAGUCCGGGAGAACAGUACCCAGCGGGUUUACCCGGAGAAGCAAGUUGAUUAUGAGAUCAAUGCUCACAAAUAUUGGAAUGACUUCUACCAAAUCCAUGAAAAUAGGUUUUUCAAGGACAGGCAUUGGCUUUUCACUGAAUUCCCAGAACUGGCACCUAGUCAAAACCAAAAUCACUUGAUGGAUUUGCUGUCAGAGAGUAAGCAGAAUGAACUGCCUGAAUGUAGGAAUAAAGAGGACGGACCUGAUUUAAUAACAGAAGAACAGCACAAGUAUUCUUCAGACGGCCUUGAGCAUAAAACACAGACCCUCCCUGUGGAAGAAAAUGUAACUCAGAAACUCAGUCACUUGGAAAUCUGUACUGAUGAGUUUCCUGGAUCCUUAGCCACCUAUCGAAUACUUGAGGUUGGUUGUGGUGUGGGAAACACAGUCUUUCCAAUUUUACAAACCAACAAUGACCCAAGACUCUUUGUUUACUGUUGUGAUUUUUCUUCCACAGCUAUACAGCUGGUCCAGACAAAUUCAGCAUAUGAUUCUUCUCGGUGUUUUGCCUUUGUUCACGAUUUGUGUGAUGAAGAUAAGCCUUACCCAAUUCCCAGGGAUAGUCUCGAUAUCAUCAUCCUCAUAUUUGUUCUUUCAGCAAUUGUUCCAGACAAGAUGCAGAAGGCUAUCAACAGACUGAGCAGGCUCCUGAAACCUGGAGGGAUGAUGCUUCUGCGAGAUUAUGGCCGCCAUGACAUGGCUCAGCUUCGGUUUAAAAAAGGUCAGUGUCUAUCUGAAAAUUUCUAUGUGAGAGGUGAUGGCACCAGAGUUUACUUCUUCACACAAGCAGGGAUAUCAGGUGGUGCUGUCCUCCCAUUGCUUCCUGUUGGGAUACAUGCUUUUGAAUUACUCCAUUGGUGAUGUUAACCUUGAUCACUUAAUUGAGGUGCUGUCUGCUGGGAUUCUCCACUGAAAAGUUACUAUGAAUUUCUAGGUUCAAGAUUGGACGUUGUCUCUUGACUAUAGUCAGUGGACUGUACUAUGUGAUCAAGUUACAGGACAAAUAGCCACAAUCAGAUCCUGU